rnacentral:tRNA from 1 species
UAGGGCUAUAGUUAAACAUAACAUUUAACUUGCACUUAAAAAGUAUUGAACCAAUCAAUUAGCCUUAA